AUCGCUUCUUGGCUUUUUGGCUAAGAUCAAGUGUAGUAUCUGUUCUUAUCAGUUUAAAAACAGUAUGACCCCCUAGCAACAGAUUCUAGAAAUGCUGUUAUCAUGUAGGAGGGGUGAAGAUGAAAUGGAAGUGGGAGUGUCAAGAUGGAACCAUCCCUGCCCCCAACCAAAUGCCUGGCAGAACAUCUCUGCCUUU